rnacentral:rRNA from 1 species
GCUUCUUGGGUGACGAGCGGCGGACGGGUGAGUAAUGCAUAGGAAUCUGCCCGAUAGUGGGGGAUAACCUGGGGAAACCCAGGCUAAUACCGCAUACGUCCUACGGGAGAAAGGGGGCUCCGGCUCCCGCUAUGGGAUGAGCCUAUGUCGGAUUAGCUAGUUGGUGAGGUAACGGCUCACCAAGGCAACGAUCCGUAGCUGGUCUGAGAGGAUGAUCAGCCACAUCGGGACUGAGACACGGCCCGAACUCCUACGGGAGGCAGCAGUGGGGAAUAUUGGACAAUGGGCGCAAGCCUGAUCCAGCCAUGCCGCGUGUGUGAAGAAGGCCCUCGGGUUGUAAAGCACUUUCAGCGAGGAAGAACGCCUAGCGGUUAAUACCCGCUAGGAAAGACAUCACUCGCAGAAGAAGCACCGGCUAACUCCGUGCCAGCAGCCGCGGUAAUACGGAGGGUGCAAGCGUUAAUCGGAAUUACUGGGCGUAAAGCGCGCGUAGGUGGCUUGAUAAGCCGGUUGUGAAAGCCCCGGGCUCAACCUGGGAACGGCAUCCGGAACUGUCAAGCUAGAGUGCAGGAGAGGAAGGUAGAAUUCCCGGUGUAGCGG